rnacentral:rRNA from 1 species
GAGCAAGGUAGGGAAGGCGCACGGUGGAUGCCUAGGCACCGGGAGGCGAAGAAGGGCGCGGCAAGCGGCGAAACGCCCCGGGGAGCCGCAAGCGGGCGUAGAUCCGGGGGUGCCCGAAUGGGGGAACCUGCCACCUGGAAGAGGUGGCAUCCGGCUGGGAGCCGGAGGCGAACCGGGGGAAGUGAAACAUCUCAGUACCCCGAGGAAGAGAAAGCAAGAGCGAUUCCCCGAGUAGCGGCGAGCGAAAGGGAGGAGCCUAAACCGCACGGUGUGAAAGGCCCGAAGCCGUUGCUCGUGCGGGGUAGAGGGGAAGUCUGGGCGGGGCUUCGGGACCCGCCGGGGAGUAAGAAACCGUGGAUCUAGCCGAACGGUCUGGGAAGGCCGGCCGUAGAGGGUGAUAGCCCCGUAGGCGAAAGGUUCACGGCUCUCUGGGACUUCACCCCGAGUACCACGGGACACGGGGAAUCCUGUGGGAAUCCGGGAGGACCACCUCCUAAGGCUAAACACUACCCGGUGACCGAUAGCGCAUAGUACCGAGAGGGAAAGGUGAAAAGCACCCCUGGCGGGGAGUGAAAGAGGACCUGAAACCGUGUGCCUACAAGCAGUCGGAGGGUCGUAGGGACCUGACGGCGUACCUUUUGCAGAAUGUGCCGGCGAGUUACGGUAGCGUGCGAGGUUAAGGCGGGGAGCCGGAGCCGGAGCGAAAGCGAGUCCGAAGAGGGCGAGAGUACGCUGCCGUAGACCCGAAGCCGGGUGAUCUACCCAUGGCCAGGGUGAAGGUGGGGUAAGACCCACUGGAGGCCCGAACCCGUCAGUGUUGCAAAACUGUGGGAUGAGCUGUGGGUAGGAGUGAAAAGCUAAACGAACCCGGUGAUAGCUGGUUCUCCCCGAAAUGGCUUUAGGGCCAGCCUUACCCGGGAGGGUGAGGGAGGUAGAGCACUGAUGAGGAGAGGGGCCCGCGAGGGCUACCGAUUCUCGUCAAACUGCGAAUGCCCUCACCUGGUGGGUAGGAGUUAGACUGCGGGGGAUAAGCUCCGUGGUCGAGAGGGGAAUAGCCCAGACCGACCGCUAAGGUCCCGAAGGGCGCGCUAAGUGGGGAACGCUGUGGUGGGACGGAGACAGCCGGGACGUUGGCUUAGAAGCAGCCAUCGUUUAAAGAGUGCGUAACAGCUCACCGGUCGAGUCCUGCUGCGCGGAAAAUGUAACGGGGCUGAAGCGCGCCACCGAAGCGUCGGGCACGCUGUGGGCGUGCGGUAGGGGAGCGUACCCUGUUCGGGGAAGCGGACCUGGGAGGGUUCGUGGAGGGCAGGGUAGUGAGACUGCCGGCGUGAGUAGCGGUAAGACAGGUGAGAAUCCUGUCCGCCGGAAGCCCGAGGUUUCCUGGGGAAGGUUCGUCCGCCCAGGGUAAGCCGGGACCUAAGGCGAGGCCGGAAGGCGUAGCCGAUGGGAAACGGGUGGAGAGUCCCGUGCCACCCCAAGUGCGUAGGCGCAGGGGGGACGCAGGAGGCGGAGGGGAGCGCGCGGAUGGAGGCGCGUCCAAGCGGCGAGGCUGAGCGGGGAGGGAAAUCCCCCUGCUCGGUAAGGCUGAGCCGUGAUGGGGAGGGAAGGCGAGUACCGAACUCCCUAGCCGUCAUACUGCCGAGAAAAGCCUCGGCGCAAGUGCUUGGGGUGCCCGUACCGGAAACCGACACAGGUGGGCGAGGAGAGGAUCCACAGGCGCGCGAGAGAACCCCUGCUAAGGAACUCGGCAAAAAGGCCCCGUAACUUCGGGAGAAGGGGUGCUCGCACUGGGGUGCGAGCCGCAGAGAAGUGGCCCAGGCGACUGUUUAGCAAAAACACAGGUCUCUGCGAAGCCGAAAGGCGACGUAUAGGGGCUGACGCCUGCCCGGUGCCGGAAGGUUAAGGGGAGGGGUUAGCCGGAAGGCGAAGCUUCGAACCGAAGCCCCGGUAAACGGCGGCCGUAACUAUAACGGUCCUAAGGUAGCGAAAUUCCUUGUCGGGUAAGUUCCGACCCGCACGAAAGGCGUAACGACCUGGGCGCUGUCUUGGCAGGGGGCUCGGCGAAAUCGUAAGACCUGUGAAGAUGCAGGUUACCCGCGACGGGACGGAAAGACCCCGUGGAGCUUUACUGCAACCUGACGUGGUUUUUUGGCGGGUGCUGUACAGGAUAGGUGGGAGCCUGGGAAGUGGGCUCGCCAGGGCCCAUGGAGGCGGCGGUGGGAUACCACCCUGCACUUGCUGAAGGACUCACCGGGCUCUGUGGAGGAGCCGGGACAACGUCAGGCGGGCAGUUUGACUGGGGCGGUCGCCUCCUAAAGGGUAACGGAGGCGCCCGAAGGUCACCUCAGCGCGGAUGGACAUCGCGCGGCGAGUGCAAGGGCAGAAGGUGGCUUGACUGCGAGAGCGACGGCUCGAGCAGGGGCGAAAGCCGGGCCUAGUGAUCCGGUGGUGCUGAGUGGGAGGGCCACCGCUCAACGGAUAAAAGCUACCCCGGGGAUAACAGGCUGAUCUCCCCCGAGAGUCCACAUCGGCGGGGAGGAUUGGCACCUCGAUGUCGGCUCAUCGCAACCUGGGGCUGAAGUCGGUCCCAAGGGUUGGGCUGUUCGCCCAUGAAAGCGGUACGUGAGCUGGGUUCAGAACGUCGUGAGACAGUUCGGUCCCUAUCUGUCGCGGGCGCAGGACACUUGAGGGGGAAGGCUCCUAGUACGAGAGGACCGGAGCGUUCGUGCCACUGGUGCACCGGUUGUUCCGCCCGGGGCACGGCCGGGUAGCCAAGCACGGAGGGAUAAGCGCUGAAGGCAUCUAAGCGCGAAGCCCGCCCCGAGAUGAGGUGUCCCACCGGGAGAACCGGGUAAGGCCCCUUGGAGACGACGAGGUAGAUCGGCCCGAGGUGGAAGCGCGGCGACGCGCGGAGCUGACGGGUACGAAUCGGCCGAGGCCUUGCGAGC